rnacentral:rRNA from 1 species
UACGUAGGGAGCAAGCGUUGUUCGGAUUUACUGGGCGUAAAGGGCGUGUAGGCGGCAAUUCAAGUCAGCUGUGAAAUCUCCGGGCUUAACUCGGAACGGUCAGCUGAUACUGCUUUGCUAGAGUGCGGAAGGGGCAAUCGGAAUUCUCGGUGUAGCGGUGAAAUGCGUAGAUAUCGAGAGGAACACCUGAGGUGAAGACGGGUUGCUGGGCCGACACUGGCGCUGACAGCGCGAAAGCCAGGGGAGCAAACGGG